UGUAUGGCUCCUUUAGGAGCCACCACCUUUGCUCAAAAAAGCAACA
rfam:Chaetura pelagica isolate M959 contig25168, whole genome shotgun sequence.